AUACGGAGGAUCCGAGCGUUAUCCGGAUUUAUUGGGUUUAAAGGGUGCGCAGGCGGCCAUUUAAGUCAGCGGUUAAAUCGUGGGGCUCAACCCCAUUCUGCCGUUGAUACUGGGUGGCUUGAUUGCGGUCGAGGUUGGCGGAAUUCGUUGUGUAGCGGUGAAAUGCAUAGAUAUGACGAAGAACACCGAUUGCGUAGGCAGCUGACCAGACCGCAAAUGACGCUCAUGCACGAAAGUGCGGGGAUCGAACGGGAUUAGAUACCCUGGUAGUCCGCACAGUAAACGAUGAAUACUUGUUUUCGGCGAUAUAAUGUCGGAGGCAAAGCGAAAGCGAUAAGUAUUCCACCUGGGGAGUACGCCGGCAACGGUGAAACUCAAAUGAAUUGGCGGGG
rnacentral:rRNA from 1 species